rnacentral:rRNA from 1 species
UAGUGUAGCGGNGAAAUGCGUAGAUAUUAGGAAGANCACCAGUGGCGAAGGCGACUUUCUGGACGAAAACUGACGCUGAGGCGCGAAAGCCAGGGGAGCGAACGGGAUUAGAUACCCCGGUAGUCCUGGCCGUAAACGAUGGGUACUAGGUGUAGGAGGUAUCGACCCCUUCUGUGCCGGAGUUAACGCAAUAAGUACCCCGCCUGGGGAGUACGACCGCAAGGUUGAAACUCAAAGGAAUUGACGGGGGCCCGCACAAGCGGUGGAGUAUGUGGUUUAAUUCGACGCAACGCGAAGAACCUUACCAGGUCUUGACAUUGAUGGACAGAACCAGAGAUGGUUCCUCUUCUUCGGAAGCCAGAAAACAGGUGGUGCACGGUUGUCGUCAGCUCGUGUCGUGAGAUGUUGGGUUAAGUNNNNNNNNNNNNCGCAACCCCUAUCUUAUGUUGCCAGCACUUCGGGUGGGGACUCAUGAGAGACUGCCGCAGACAAUGCGGAGGAGGGCGGGGAUGACGUCAAAUCAUCAUGCCCCUUAUGACCUGGGCUACACACGUACUACAAUGGGAGUUAAUAGACGGAAGCGAGAUCGCGAGAUGGAGCAAACCCGAGAAACACUCUCUCAGUUCGGAUCGUAGGCUGCAACUCGCCUACGUGAAGUCGGAAUCGCUAGUAAUCGCAGGUCAGCAUACUGCGGUGAAUACGUUCCCGGGCCUUG